UUGAUUGGUGCUUGCAUCAUGAUUUACAUUUGAGUGAGUGGCGAACUGGUGAGUAACACGUGGGAAACCUGCCCAGAAGCGGGGGAUAACACCUGGAAACAGAUGCUAAUACCGCAUAACAACUUGGACCGCAUGGUCCGAGUUUGAAAGAUGGCUUCGGCUAUCACUUUUGGAUGGUCCCGCGGCGUAUUAGCUAGAUGGUGGGGUAACGGCUCACCAUGGCAAUGAUACGUAGCCGACCUGAGAGGGUAAUCGGCCACAUUGGGACUGAGACACGGCCCAAACUCCUACGGGAGGCAGCAGUAGGGAAUCUUCCACAAUGGACGAAAGUCUGAUGGAGCAACGCCGCGUGAGUGAAGAAGGGUUUCGGCUCGUAAAACUCUGUUGUUAAAGAAGAACAUAUCUGAGAGUAACUGUUCAGGUAUUGACGGUAUUUAACCAGAAAGCCACGGCUAACUACGUGCCAGCAGCCGCGGUAAUACGUAGGUGGCAAGCGUUGUCCGGAUUUAUUGGGCGUAAAGCGAGCGCAGGCGGUUUUUUAAGUCUGAUGUGAAAGCCUUCGGCUCAACCGAAGAAGUGCAUCGGAAACUGGGAAACUUGAGUGCAGAAGAGGACAGUGGAACUCCAUGUGUAGCGGUGAAAUGCGUAGAUAUAUGGAAGAACACCAGUGGCGAAGGCGGCUGUCUGGUCUGUAACUGACGCUGAGGCUCGAAAGUAUGGGUAGCAAACAGGAUUAGAUACCCUGGUAGUCCAUACCGUAAACGAUGAAUGCUAAGUGUUGGAGGGUUUCCGCCCUUCAGUGCUGCAGCUAACGCAUUAAGCAUUCCGCCUGGGGAGUACGGCCGCAAGGCUGAAACUCAAAGGAAUUGACGGGGGCCCGCACAAGCGGUGGAGCAUGUGGUUUAAUUCGAAGCUACGCGAAGAACCUUACCAGGUCUUGACAUACUAUGCAAAUCUAAGAGAUUAGACGUUCCCUUCGGGGACAUGGAUACAGGUGGUGCAUGGUUGUCGUCAGCUCGUGUCGUGAGAUGUUGGGUUAAGUCCCGCAACGAGCGCAACCCUUAUUAUCAGUUGCCAGCAUUAAGUUGGGCACUCUGGUGAGACUGCCGGUGACAAACCGGAGGAAGGUGGGGAUGACGUCAAAUCAUCAUGCCCCUUAUGACCUGGGCUACACACGUGCUACAAUGGAUGGUACAACGAGUUGCGAACUCGCGAGAGUAAGCUAAUCUCUUAAAGCCAUUCUCAGUUCGGAUUGUAGGCUGCAACUCGCCUACAUGAAGUCGGAAUCGCUAGUAAUCGCGGAUCAGCAUGCCGCGGUGAAUACGUUCCCGGGCCUUGUACACACCGCCCGUCACACCAUGAGAGUUUGUAACACCCAAAGUCGGUGGGGUAACCUUUUAGGAACCAGCC
rnacentral:rRNA from 1 species